GGCUUGUCACCUAUAUCCAGUGCAAAUGGGUUUGCUACUGACAACUCUACCACAGCAUGUGAACACAAAACAAAGAAUGUUAUCAUUUUUUCUUUACGAACAGCCUUCUGUUUCCUUCCGAUCGCUGUGCUUGCGUUCAUUUUACGGCGCUGUGGAUGUGACUGAGGAUCGUUGAUGCGCAUGUUUCUGCUUAUAUUUGGGACAAGAAGAUUUCAUCUUUAAAAUAAGUUUAACCUGAAGAGUCUUCAACCAUUUUAGCACAACAAAGAAAUUUCGUGUUCAUUUGAUGGACAAUGGAGUAUUGGGAUACAUCAAUCCCCACAAUAUCACCUUUACCUUAUGUCUCAUUUCUAGCCAUAACUCCAACCAAAAUGUGUUUUUUUUUUUAAGAUGGGCAUAGAAUAAAGAAAUGUUAAAUCCUA